GAUGAACGCUGGCGGCGUGCCUAAUACAUGCAAGUCGAGCGAAUGGAUUAAGAGCUUGCUCUUAUGAAGUUAGCGGCGGACGGGUGAGUAACACGUGGGUAACCUGCCCAUAAGACUGGGAUAACUCCGGGAAACCGGGGCUAAUACCGGAUAACAUUUUGAACCGCAUGGUUCGAAAUUGAAAGGCGGCUUCGGCUGUCACUUAUGGAUAGACCCGCGUAGCAUUAGCUAGUUGGUGAGGUAACGGCUCACCAAGGCAACCAUGCGUAGCCGACCUGCGAGGGUGAUCGGCCACACGGGAACUGAGACACGGCCCAGACUCCUACGUGAGGCAACAGUAGGGAAUCUUCCGCAAUGGACGAAAGUCUGACGGAGCAACGCCGCGUGAGUGAUGACGGCUUUCGGGUCGUAAAACUCUGUUGUUAGGGAAGAACAAGUGCUAGUUGAAUAAGCUGGCACCUUGACGGUACCUAACCAGAAAGCCACGGCUAACUACGUGCCAGCCGCCGCGGUAA
rnacentral:rRNA from 1 species